AGAUUGAACGCUGGCGGCAUGCCUUACACAUGCAAGUCGAACGGUAACGCGGGGCAACCGUGGCGACGAGUGGCGAACGGGUGAGUAAAGCAUCGGAACGUACCGUGUAGUGGGGAUAACGUAGCGAAAGUUACGCUAAUACCGCAUACGCACUGAGGUGGAAAGCAGGGGACUCGCAAGAGCCUCUCGCAAUCGGAGCGGCCGAUGUCAGAUUAGGUAGUUGGUGGGGUAAAAGCCUACCAAGCCGACGAUCUGUAGCUGGUCUGAGAGGACGACCAGCCACACUGGGACUGAGACACGGCCCAGACUCCUACGGGAGGCAGCAGUGGGGAAUUUUGGACAAUGGACGCAAGUCUGAUCCAGCCAUGCCGCGUGCAGGAAGAAGGCCUUCGGGUUGUAAACUGCUUUUGUCAGGGAAGAAAUCCUCUGGGCUAAUAUCCUGGAGGGAUGACGGUACCUGAAGAAUAAGCACCGGCUAACUACGUG
rnacentral:rRNA from 1 species